rnacentral:tRNA from 1 species
GCGCCAUUAGCUCAAUUGGAUAGAGUCGCGCACUACGAAUGCGAAGGUUAGGGGUUCGAGUCCCUUAUGGCGCGCCA